rnacentral:rRNA from 1 species
AACGAACGCUGGCGGCAUGCCUAACACAUGCAAGUCGAACGAGACCUUCGGGUCUAGUGGCGCACGGGUGCGUAACGCGUGGGAACCUGCCCUUAGGUUCGGAAUAACUCCCCGAAAGGGGUGCUAAUACCGGAUAAUGUCUUCGGACCAAAGAUUUAUCGCCUUUGGAUGGGCCCGCGUUGGAUUAGCUAGUUGGUAGGGUAAAAGCCUACCAAGGCGACGAUCCAUAGCUGGUCUGAGAGGAUGAUCAGCCACACUGGGACUGAGACACGGCCCAGACUCCUACGGGAGGCAGCAGUGGGGAAUAUUGGACAAUGGGCGAGAGCCUGAUCCAGCAAUGCCGCGUGAGUGAGGAAGGCCUUAGGAUUGUAAAGCUCUUUUACCCGGGAUGAUAAUGACAGUACCGGGAGAAUAAGCCCCGGCUAACUCCGGG